rnacentral:rRNA from 1 species
GGUGGUGGUGGUGGUGGUGGCCGAAACCGCGGUCCUGCACCCAGAAUCCCAUCCGAGACCUCCGAUGAUGUGGGCGAAGAGCUCUCUCCUUGCCCUGUGGCCUUGUCUCCUCGCGCCGCAUGAAACUGGCCCUGCUGCACUUGCCCCAACGUGUCACAGGACAGAUCUACCUUGACCUGCACCUGAUCCAGGCGCGCUGCUUGCUCCGUGAGCUUCGCAUCCAGCGACGCCAGCUUCGCGCAUAUGUCAUCCACGACCGCCAAUUUGCUCUGGUUUUCACGAAGCACGACGAAUUCCUUGAGCAUCCGCUCCUGGAGCGCCUCCAUCUCGUCCGCCAGAAACCGAGUCUGCGGAUUAGGCUUGAAGGUCGUCGUGGCUGCGAUUUCCCCCAAAUCAACCCACCUCAGGUCCGGAAUUACUCAGGUCAAGCCCGAGAGC